GAUGAAGAACGCAGCGAAAUGCGAUAAGUAAUGUGAAUUGCAGAAUUCAGUGAAUCAUCGAAUCUUUGAACGCACAUUGCGCACGCCAGUAUUCUGGCGGGCAUGCCUGUUCGAGCGUCAUUACAACCCUCAGGCCCCCGGGCCUGGCGUUGGGGAUCGGCGGAAGCCCCCUGCGGGCACAACGCCGUCCCCCAAAUACAGUGGCGGUCCCGCCGCAGCUUCCAUUGCGUAGUAGCUAACACCUCGCAACUGGAGAGCGGCGCGGCCACGCCGUAAAACACCCAACUUCUGAAUGUUGACCUCGAAUCAGGUAGGAAUACCCGCUGAACUUAAGCAUAUCAAUAAGCGGAGGA
rnacentral:misc_RNA from 1 species